rnacentral:rRNA from 1 species
UACGGAGGGUGCAAGCGUUAUCCGGAUUCACUGGGUUUAAAGGGUGCGUAGGUGGGUCUGUAAGUCAGUGGUGAAAUCUCCAAGCUUAACUUGGAACUGCCGUUGAUACUAUAGACCUUGAAUGCUGUGGAGGUGAGCGGAAUAUGUCAUGUAGCGGUGAAAUGCUUAGAUAUGACAUAGAACACCAAAUUGCGAAGGCAGCUCACUACCCAGAUAUUGACACUGAGGCACGAAAGCGUGGGGGAUCAAACAGG